rnacentral:rRNA from 1 species
CCUACGGGAGGCAGCAGUGGGGAAUAUUGGGCAAUGGGCGCAAGCCUGAUCCAGCAACGCCGCGUGAAGGAAGAAGGCUCUCGGGUCGUAAACUUCUUUUAAGAGGGAAGAGCAGAAGACGGUACCUCUUGAAUAAGCCACGGCGAACUACGCGCCAGCCCCCGCGGGAAUACGUAGGUGGCAAGCGUUGUCCGGAUUUACUGGGUGUAAAGGGCGUGCAGCCGGGAAGACAAGUCAGAUGUGAAAUCCCGCGGCUCAACCGCGGAACUGCUUUUGAAACUGUUUGUCUUGAGUACCGGAGAGGUCAUCGGAAUUCCUUGUGUAGCGGUGAAAUGCGUAGAUAUAAGGAAGAACACCAGUGGCGAAGGCGGAUGACUGGACGGCAACUGACGGUGAGGCGCGAAAGCGUGGGGAGCAAACAGGAUUAGAUACCCGGGUAGUC